AUUCUCUAACGGCUUACGGAUAGCUUGCUCCUGGUGGCGAGUGGCGAACGGGUGAUUAAUGCAUCGGAACGUACCGUGUACUGGGGGAUUGCGUAUCGAAUUUUACCCUCAUACCUGAUACGCCCUGAGGUGGACCGCGGUUGAUCGCCUUACCUCGCGCUACCCUAUCGGCCGAUGUCGGAUUAGCUAAUUGGUGGGGUAAAGGCCCCCUUCCCCGACGAUCCGCAGCGGGUCUGACAGGAGGAUCCUGCACACUGGGACUGAUUGUCGGCCCACACUCCUACGGGAGGUUACAGUGGGGAAUUUUGGACCUGGGGGCAACCCUGAUCCAGCCAUGCCUCGUGGGUGAAGAAGGCCUUCGGGUUGUAGAGCCCUUUCGUCCCGGAUUAAAUCGCAAAUGACCUUACCCUGAGUGGAUGAUCGUACCUGAAUAGGAAACACCGGCUAACUACGGGCCAUGGCCCGCUGUAAUACGUAUGGUGCUAGCGUUAAUCUUAGUUACUGAGCUGACAGCGUGCGCUGGCGGGUACCUAUAACGGAAGUCACCUCCUCGGAGUCUGCCUGGGAACUGCGUUAAUGACUGCGAAGCUAGAGUACAGCAGA
rnacentral:rRNA from 1 species